CCUACGGGAGGCAGCAGUGAGGAAUAUUGGUCAAUGGGCGCAAGCCUGAACCAGCCAAGUCGCGUGAGGGAUGACGGUCCUAUGGAUUGUAAACCUCUUUUGUCGGGGAGCAAGGCCCGCCACGAGUGGCCGGAAGGAGAUUACCCGAAGAAAAAGCAUCGGCUAACUCGGUGCCAGCGGCGGCGGUAAUACGGAGGUUGCGAGCGUUAUCCGGAUUUAUUGGGUUUAAAGGGUGCGUAGGCGGCCGGAUAAGUUAGAGGGGAAAUCCCGGGGCUCAACUUCGGAAUUGCCUCUGAUACUGGUCGGCUAGAGAGGAGUUGCGGUAGGCGGAAUGCAUGGUGUAGCGGUGAAAUGCUUAGAGAUCAUACAGAACACCGAUUGCGAAGGCAGCGUACCAAGCUACUUCUGACGUUGAGGCACGAAAGCGUGGGGAGCAAACAGGAUUAGAUACCCCGGUAGUC
rnacentral:rRNA from 1 species